rnacentral:rRNA from 1 species
AGAGACAGCAGCAGCCGCGGGAAUACGGAGGGUGCAAGCGUUAAUCGGAAUUACUGGGCGUAAAGCGCACGCAGGCGGUCUGUCAAGUCAGAUGUGAAAUCCCCGGGCUUAACCUGGGAACUGCAUUUGAAACUGGCAGGCUAGAGUCUUGUAGAGGGGGGUAGAAUUCCAGGUGUAGCGGUGAAAUGCGUAGAGAUCUGGAGGAAUACCGGUGGCGAAGGCGGCCCCCUGGACAAAGACUGACGCUCAGGUGCGAAAGCGUGGGGAGCAAACAGGAUUAGAUACCCCCGUAUCCCUGUCUCUUAUACC